rnacentral:sRNA from 1 species
UUAAGAGGUAAUUCCAAUUCAAAGGCCG